GGCGCAGUGGUUUAUUGAUUAGCACGUUUGCCUCGUACCUCCUGGGUUGGGGGUUCGAAUCCCGCCUCCGCCC